CCUACGGGAGGCAGCAGUGAGGAAUAUUGGUCAAUGGACGAGAGUCUGAACCAGCCAAGUAGCGUGAAGGAUGACUGCCCUAUGGGUUGUAAACUUCUUUUAUAUGGGAAUAAAAUGUUCCACGUGUGGGAUUUUGUAUGUACCAUAUGAAUAAGGAUCGGCUAACUCCGUGCCAGCAGCCGCGGUAAUACGGAGGAUCCGAGCGUUAUCCGGAUUUAUUGGGUUUAAAGGGAGCGUAGGUGGAUUGUAAAGUCAGUUGUGAAAGUUUGCGGCUCAACCGUAAACGUGCAGUUGAAACUGGCAGUCUAGAGUACAGUAGAGGUGGGCGGAAUGCGUGGUGUAGCGGUGAAAUGCUUAGAUAUCACGAAGAACUCCGAUUGCGAAGGCAGCUCACUGGACUGCAACUGACACUGAGGCUCGAAAGUGUGGGUAUCAAACAGGAUUAGAUACCCGGGUAGUC
rnacentral:rRNA from 1 species